rnacentral:RNase_P_RNA from 2 species
GGAGUCGGCCGGGCAGUCGCCGGGAGAAAUUCCGGAGGAAAGUCCGGGCUUCAUUGGGCAGGGUGCCAGGUAACGCCUGGGGGGCGUGAGCCUACGGAAAGUGCCGCAGAAAAUAUACCGCCGGCCGCGAGGCCGGUAAGGGUGAAAUGGUGCGGUAAGAGCGCACCGCGCAGGCGGUAACGCCUGCGGCAGGGUAAACCCCACCCGAAGCAAGACCGAAUAGGGGAACGCUUGCAGUGUGCCCACACGAGUUCCCGGGUAGGUCGCUGGAGACGUUCGGUGACGUACGUCCUAGAUGAAUGGCUGCCCUCGACAGAACCCGGCUUACAGGCCGACUCCCUUC